UAACAGUUAUUAUGAUACUAUUUGAUAUCAAAUAACUUCUACCUAUUCAAGUCUUUUAAGCUUUUGACGGCAUAUUUCGAAAGCGUUUCUUGAUGACGAACAUUUGAUCAUUUGAUACUUAAUACUUUGUUCCGGAUGAAUCCUCAAUUUUUCUUAGGCUUGUUAUUUUUAAUGUUAUUGCUUCCCAAAACAAAUUCAGCGAGGUUGUUUCCUAAAGCUAGCGGAAAAGAAAACUCAAUAUCAACCACUGCAGCGAGGAGUCAGAAUUUCUUAAUGGUGGAUGGUUGGAAUGCCUCACAUGAGAGACCAUUUUUUGCCGUACUCACUUUUAGACACAAUCUAAACUAUUGUGGAGCUGCAAUUAUUCACAGGUUUUGGAUAAUAACUGCUGCUCAUUGCGUAUUUGCAGCUAAAACCAACGAUAUCGCUGUGGAAAUUGGUCACUUUUUAUUUGAAGCGACGACCAAUCAACGCUACCGUGUGGCGAAAAAAUUUAUUCCGCACAGGUUCAAAAUGCAAAGGGAGUACAGAAAUGACAUUGCACUGUUAAAGUUAUCAACUGAAAUAUCAAAUGGUGAACGUAUUUUACCAUUAUGUUCCAAUUUUCUUCCUCCUUUUGAAACCUUACCUCAUGUUUUGGGAUCAUGCGGAAAAGGGACAACUUCCAGAACACAUUACGAUAUCCCAUAUGUUCUUCAAGAAGCUUUCUUUUAUGAAAGUCUUUUCGAAUCAAACACGCAGCCGCUUCAACUUCAAUUUUGUCGUGAAGAUCAAGUUUGCGUAGAAAGCGCAACCCCGGGAGCCAAUAUUUGUUACUUUGACGAUGGCAACCCUCUCUAUUUAUUUAAACUUUGCAGUGAUACUCCCAAAUGUUUAUAUGGUGUGGCAAGUUAUUCAAGAAGUCGCAAUGACACCCCAGGUCAAUUUUGCAACAACGGAAGCUUCUUUGCAAGUGUUCCCCGAUUUUAUACAUGGAUAACUGUGACAAUGGCGAUUAACUAAAGUGAAAAGAUUGAAAUUGUUUUGGUUUUUUCUACUUCUGCAACAGGACCAGUUGAAUAAAAAUAAAGCGAAAGCAAUUUGAGUAGUCAGAAAUCUGUCACUCUAUCAGGUCGAUACUUCAGAUUUUGUCAUCAAUUUGACAUUUUGUCAUUUAGUUUUUCUGUCUUGAAAAGAGCCUCCG